UUCAAAAACUAUUUCACACGGUUUAAUAUUUCUUUUCUUCCGUGGCUUAGGAAUUAGUCUCAUUAUACUCUUGAACUAAUUUGAGAUAAAGGCUUCAACCAAAUAAAUGGUCCUAAAAUAUCCUCGGGCCCAGAAUGUUUGUUUCCCAACUAAACUGGCCCAACCUUAUUUCCUAUUUACUACUGAGGCACAACUGAAAUUUCUGUGGCCCAAAAGAUUAAGUGGAGGGUGGAGUACCUGAUUAAAUUCUAUGGCCCAAAAGAAAAUGAAACCAGGCCCAAAAGGUUUAAUCUGUUGGCCCAACUCAAAGUCAAAAAAAGAAAAGUGGCCCAAUUUAAAUUAUACUCCCCAUCCGUUGACCACCUCAUCUCCCUUCUUUUUCUUCCCUUUUCUCCCCAUUCACGCAAAAUCCCUAAUUUGGGGAGAGACCAACCCUAGCACGAUUUCUCGGUUGGGAAAGAAGGCUCGAUCUAAAGGAAGGAGCAGCGACGUCGGCCGAGACCGUUGUUGUCGCGCUCCCCCGUCGCGCCUUUUCUUCACCGUCGCGCUCCCUCCGCUGCUCACGACUUGCGACGCUUUUCGCGUUCAGACGUCGCACCACCUCCCGUCGUCAAAUGUGAGCAGCCAGCUUGCUGCUGUCUCUAGCCGUCAUUGUUGUGGCGAGACCGUCUCCCUCUCAUCGACUCAGCGCCAGCGCCAUCGGAGCAGGCAAAGGAGUGUCGCCGUCGAGAUUGGCCGCGGUCGGUCGUGCAGCCGCCGUCGUACACUUGGCAUGACAUCAGACCACGCUGUCUCCUUCUGGCCUUCGGCGCGUGCUCCGGCUACCUGAUUUCAGCUCCGUCCUCGUCGGCCAGAGCUAAGUCUUCGUUCCUCCCCUCGUUCCAGUUUCUUUGAUUUUUGUUCUAUUGAAAGCUCGGUUGAGGUCUAAAAGCAUUCUAAAUUGAGCAGAGUUUGGGUUUUGGCCAAAAUCUUAGUUAGUUUCUGAUGAUAUUGAUCUAGCGUUGGUAUCUGGUAUUUCCAUCAUCGUGUAAACGAUAAGCUUCUAUUUCUUAUACUAUAUCUGAGCUAGCUGAAAGGGGUAAGUGGAGGUUUCACUACUUCACCUUACCCUAUCAUGUUGUCCAUUAUGAAAGAUGUUGGUUUAACAUGCUUUAGAUGCUUACAUGAUGCUAUGAGUUCAAUCUGAAAUUCGAAGGGGGUUUUACCUUCGCUGCAGUGUAUCUUGUUGCUCCUUGCUCUCAGCUUUGCCCCCUUUGACUGCCUCUCGCUGCCUCGGUCCCUCUCACUCUGGGGUUUCACUGAUUUGUGUGAUGGUUGUUACUUGCUCACUUAACCGCUGUAUUGCUGAAUUUCUUGCUGGUAUGUGGAUGAGAGUUGAAGAAUAUGGAGGGUUGUCUAUAUAGAUGAGAGGGUGUACUCGUUAGCUUCAGAUUUGGGCAGCUUUAUUCUUAUUGUGUACAAUGAAGGUGCAGAGGCUGCUGACUGAGGUCUGCAAUAUGGUUAAUUGGAAUUCAGCAGCUGGAGCUCUGCAGAGCUGCUGCAGUUGUGCCUUUUUCUUAGCUUGUAGCGGCUGGACGUUGGCUGGAGAUGUGCAGGAGUUGCACUACGGCAGGCUGUCCCAAAUGGUGAGCCUUUCGUACUCCUCCCGGAGUGGUCCCGUUGUUCCAGGCCGAUAGGCUGAUCGGGAGCCGCGGUGGGUGCGGUUUGGGCUCGGGAGACGAAGGCCCAAAAUUAGCAUUUCAAAAAAAAAAGUAAUAGAAUAGUGUCUUUCCUCUUUUUCUCCUGUGCAUACUGUUUCCUUUGUUCUCUUUGAACAUUUGUAAUCUUAGACUUUGCUUGAAAUAAUAAAUGUUGUGUUACUCAAGAAAUAAACAUUCUCUCAUUCUUUAUCAAAA